rnacentral:rRNA from 1 species
UGGGGAAUAUUGGACAAUGGGGGCAACCCUGAUCCAGCAAUGCCGCGUGUGUGAAGAAGGUCUUCGGAUUGUAAAGCACUUUCGACGGGGACGAUGAUGACGGUACCCGUAGAAGAAGCCCCGGCUAACUUCGUGCCAGCAGCCGCGGUAAUACGAAGGGGGCUAGCGUUGCUCGGAAUGACUGGGCGUAAAGGGCGUGUAGGCGGUUUACACAGUCAGAUGUGAAAUCCCCGGGCUUAACCUGGGAGCUGCAUUUGAUACGUGUAGACUAGAGUGUGAGAGAGGGUUGUGGAAUUCCCAGUGUAGAGGUGAAAUUCGUAGAUAUUGGGAAGAACACCGGUGGCGAAGGCGGCAACCUGGCUCAUGACUGACGCUGAGGCGCGAAAGCGUGGGGAGCAAACAGGAUUAGAUACCCUGGUAGUCCACGCUGUAAA